rnacentral:rRNA from 1 species
UACGUAGGGGGCAAGCGUUGUCCGGAUUUAUUGGGCGUAAAGAGCGUGUAGGCGGCCAGGCAGGUCCGCUGUGAAAACUCGAGGCUCAACCUCGAGAGGUCGGUGGAAACCGUUUGGCUAGAGUCCGGAAGAGGAGAGUGGAAUUCCCGGUGUAGCGGUGAAAUGCGCAGAUAUCGGGAAGAACACCCGUGGCGAAGGCGGCUCUCUGGGAUGGUACUGACGCUGAGACGCGAAAGCGUGGGGAGCGAACAGG